rnacentral:rRNA from 1 species
GGUAGUCCACGCUGUAAACGAUGGGCACUAGGUGUGGGGGGUGUCGACUCCCUCCGUGCCGAAGCUAACGCAUUAAGUGCCCCGCCUGGGGAGUACGGCCGCAAGGCUAAAACUCAAAGGAAUUGACGGGGACCCGCACAAGCAGCGGAGCAUGUGGUUUAAUUCGACGCAACGCGAAGAACCUUACCUGGGCUUGACAUGUUCUUGACAGCUCUGGAAACAGAGUCUCCCUUCGGGGGCAAGAUCACAGGUGGUGCAUGGCUGUCGUCAGCUCGUGUCGUGAGAUGUUGGGUUAAG